CAGCCGCCACGGUAAAACGAAGGGUGCAAGCGUUACUCGGAAUUACUGGGCGUAAAGCGUGCGUAGGUGGUGGUUUAAGUCCGUUGUGAAAGCCCUGGGCUCAACCUGGGAAUUGCAGUGGAUACUGGGUCACUAGAGUGUGGUAGAGGAUAGUGGAAUUUCCGGUGUAGCAGUGAAAUGCGUAGAGAUCGGAAGGAACAUCUGUGGCGAAGGCGACUAUCUGGGCCAACACUGACACUGAGGCACGAAAGCGUGGGGAGCAAACAGGAUUAGAGACCCCUGUAGUCCCUGUCUCUUAUAC
rnacentral:rRNA from 1 species